AGUCACCCAGUCAUGUGAGAUAAAAUAAUAAAUUGAUGAUGUUUUGACAUAAGUCACUGUCAGGCUCAAAGGGUCCACAUAAGCUCCCUUGGGGGGCGAUCAGAAGUCAGUAGGCACCUCUCUGGUGUUCACACAGCACCUCACUUUUCC